rnacentral:tRNA from 1 species
GGCUAUGUAGCUCAGCUGGUUAGAGCACGGCACUCAUAAUGCCGGGGUCGCAGGUUCAAGUCCCGCCAUAGCCA